UCAAUGUGAAUGUUUGAAAUGUCAAAUGAGACUUGUUUGAACAUGAAUGAAGUAUUUCUAAUCACUUCCCACCUCCAAAUCCACAGUUGACCUUGCAGUUGACUUCCUAGGCCUUCAGAUGGUUGGGAAAUGUUCUGAUGAAAUUCAAGCCCCUACCACUUGGGAUUUUGCUUCAAAAUGACAUCAUAGAUCAUAUGAACUCUUGAUAAUGAUUGUGGGGUCCAAAUUCUCAAGAAUGGCCACCAUCUAUUGCUCAA
rnacentral:lncRNA from 1 species